rnacentral:rRNA from 1 species
GAUGAACGCUGGCGGCGUGCCUAAUACAUGCGAGUCGAGCGAACAGACGAGGAGCUUGCUCCUCUGACGUUAGCGGCGGACGGGUGAGUAACACGUGGAUAACCUACCUAUAAGACUGGGAUAACUUCGGGAAACCGGAGCUAAUACCGGAUAAUAUAUUGAACCGCAUGGUUCAAUAGUGAAAGACGGUUUUGCUGUCACUUAUAGAUGGAUCCGCGCCGCAUUAGCUAGUUGGUAAGGUAACGGCUUACCAAGGCAACGAUGCGUAGCCGACCUGAGAGGGUGAUCGGCCACACUGGAACUGAGACACGGUCCAGACUCCUACGGGAGGCAGCAGUAGGGAAUCUUCCGCAAUGGGCGAAAGCCUGACGGAGCAACGCCGCGUGAGUGAUGAAGGUCUUCGGAUCGUAAAACUCUGUUAUUAGGGAAGAACUAAUGUGUAAGUAACUAUGCACGUCUUGACGGUACCUAAUCAGAAAGCCACGGCUAACUACGUG